CCUACGGGACGCAGCAGUGGGGAAUCUUCCGCAAUGGGCGCAAGCCUGACGGAGCAAUGCCGCGUGAACGAAGAAGGUCUUCGGAUUGUAAAGUUCUGUCCUUAUCGAAGAGAGGGUAUAGAGUGAAAAAUGAUAUACUAGGACGGUAGAUGAGGAGGAAGCCCCGGCUAACUAAGUGCCAGCAGCCGCGGUAAUACGUAGGGGGCGAGCGUUGUCCGGAAUCAAUGGGCGGAAAGGGCGCGUAGGAGGGAAUAUAAGUCAGGAGUGAAAGGUGGGGG
rnacentral:rRNA from 1 species